rnacentral:lncRNA from 1 species
GAACUCUUAAAAAUUUAAGGGGCUAUAAACUCAGGAGAGAGCUUUUCUAUUCUAAAGUAAAGGCGCAAAUCCAUGGCUUUUCAAUGAGCUCAUUAAUUACUCAUCCACAUGCUGAAAAAUUGAUGACUUCAUAAAGUGAUCUAAAUUAAUUAACUUUUUAUCUUUUAACAAGUCAUUUAUACCACAAAGUCGAGAUGAGAGAGUGAUGAAGUAUCAAUUAG